rnacentral:tRNA from 1 species
GCUUAGGUGGCAGAGUUUGGUAAUUGCAAAAGAGCUAAGAUCUUUCAACCAAAGGUUCAAAUCCUUUCCAUAGU